rnacentral:misc_RNA from 1 species
GUCUACCCAAAUUGUUUGCAGCUCAAUUGAGCAAUUCCAUGAUGUGAUUCCGGGAUCCUGUGGCAUUCAUUGCUCCUACCAAUAAUCAAUUGGAUCCUUUUCCAUUGUCGAUGGCGAGGUUCUUUAUUAGCUGGGGACUUUAUGUGCUAGCAUUAGUUGAUUGAAUUGCGGAUCCAUCGUUUGUUCUUGAAUGGCGUGGUUUAGUGGGAGGGUUUCGUUAGGCAACUUUGCCGAUAUUGCUGGUGCGGUAAAUAAGCUCCAAGAGAGCGUGAAGAAUAUUGAGAAGAAUUUUGACUCUGCUCUCGGGUUUGAAGAGAAGUCGGAAUCCAGCAGUGAUGCUCCUGGAUUCUGGCAAUCAGCUACUGAAGGGAAAGCACUCUUUGAUCCA